rnacentral:rRNA from 1 species
GCUAAUCCUGGUCGGACAUCAGGAGGUUAGUGCAAUGGCAUAAGCCAGCUUGACUGCGAGCGUGACGGCGCGAGCAGGUGCGAAAGCAGGUCAUAGUGAUCCGGUGGUUCUGAAUGGAAGGGCCAUCGCUCAACGGAUAAAAGGUACUCCGGGGAUAACAGGCUGAUACCGCCCAAGAGUUCAUAUCGACGGCGGUGUUUGGCACCUCGAUGUCGGCUCAUCACAUCCUGGGGCUGAAGUAGGUCCCAAGGGUAUGGCUGUUCGCCAUUUAAAGUGGUACGCGAGCUGGGUUUAGAACGUCGUGAGACAGUUCGGUCCCUAUCUGCCGUGGGCGCUGGAGAACUGAGGGGGGCUGCUCCUAGUACGAGAGGACCGGAGUGGACGCAUCACUGGUGUUCGGGUUGUCAUG